rnacentral:lncRNA from 1 species
GCCCUACAUUCAUCCCUUUACCACCUUGUACCAUUGAACUGGGUUGCAGUAACAAUCCUCAACUUGAAUGAUUUUUUGCAUGGUUUUAUCAGAAUUCAUUUUGAAAGAUAACAGCUAGUUAUCAUAUGAUUAUCAAACACUUGUUCAGGGUGUCUUAAACUCUGUUCUACAUGUAUCCCUUUGCCACCUUGUACCAUUGAACUAAGUUCCAGGAAACAUUUCUCAAUUUGGACUGUCUUUUUCAUGGUAUUAUUUAAAUCAAUUUUUAUAGUUUGCAACUAAUGAUCAUAUGUUU